UACGGGGGGAGCAAGCGUUGUUCGGAUUCAUUGGGCGUAAAGCGCACGUAGGCGGUCUUGUAAGUCGGGUGUGAAAGCCCGGGGCUUAACCCCGGAAGUGCACUCGAAACUGCAAGGCUUGAGUAUGGAAGAGGGUCUCGGAAUUCCCGGUGUAGAGGUGAAAUUCGUAGAUAUCGGGAGGAACACCAGUGGCGAAGGCGGAGACCUGGGCCAAUACUGACGCUGAGGUGCGAAAGCGUGGGGAGCAAACAGG
rnacentral:rRNA from 1 species